rnacentral:rRNA from 1 species
UAGGCGCAGCGAAAGCAAGUCUUAAUAGGGCGAUUAGUUUAAUGAAUUAGACCCGAAAACGAAUGAGCUUACCAUGAGCAGGUUGAAAGUAAGGUAACACUUACCGGAGGACCGAACCAGUUGACGUUGAAAAGUCUUUGGAUGACUUGUGGUAAGGGGUGAAAGGCCAACCAAAUUCGUAGAUAGCUGGUUUUCCGCGAAAACUAUUUAGGUAGUGCGUUGAAUAAAUAGAUGUUUAGAGGUAGAGCACUAAAUGGGCUAGGGGGAAGAGAUUCUUACCAAACCUAAUAAAACUCCGAAUGCUAAACAUUGUUCUUCAACAGACAGACUGUGGGUGCUAAGGUCCAUGGUCGAGAGGGAAAGAGCCCAGACCACCAGAUAAGGUCCCCAAAUUAUGAUUAAGUGUGAAAGGAUGUGGAAAUUCCUUAACAGCCGGGAGGUUGGCUUAGAAGCAGCCAUCCUUUAAAGAUAGCGUAACAGCUCACCGGUCUAAUAGAGUUUCUGCGCCGAAGAUGUAACGGGGCUAAAAUCAUAUACCGAAUCUGUGGAUUUGUAAUUUUUUCGAAAAUUACAACUGGUAGCGGAACGUUCUGUAAGUCUGUGAAGGGAUACCCGUGAGGGAUCCUGGAGAUAUCAGAAGUGCGAAUGCUGACAUAAGUAACGAUAAAAGAAGUGAAAAACUUCUUCGCCGAAAAUCCAAGGGUUUCUGCGCAAGGUUAAUCCGCGCAGAGUUAGUCGGCACCUAAGGCGAGGGCGAAAGCCGUAGUCGAUGGAAAUAAGGUUAAUAUUCCUUAACCAGAUGGUAGUGACAAAUCUUGUAAGUUGUAAAUUCUUAAUGGAUUGAAUUUGCCGCGAAAAGGUUUCAAGAAAUAGCUCCAUCAUUAGACCGUACCCUAAACCGACACAGGUGGAUUAAUAGAGUAUAUUUAGGCGCUUGAGAGAAUGAUGUUGAAGGAACUCGGCAAAAUGCUUCCGUAACUUCGGAAUAAGGAAGACCUUUUUAUAGGCAACUAUAAGAAGGUGGCACAAGUCAGGGAGAAGCGACUGUUUAUCAAAAACACAGGGCUCUGCUAACACGUAAGUGGAUGUAUAGGGUCUGACGCCUGCCCGGUGCUGGAAGGUUAAUGCGAUGGGUGCAAGCUCAUUUCUGAAGCCCCAGUAAACGGCGGCCGUAACUAUAACGGUCCUAAGGUAGCGAAAUUCCUUGUCGGGUAAGUUCCGACCUGCAUGAAUGGCGUAACGAUUUCUCCGCUGUCUCCAACAUCAACUCAGUGAAAUUGAAUUCUCCGUGAAGAUGCGGAGUUCGCGUAGUUAGACGGAAAGACCCCGUGCACCUUUACUGCAACUUUAC